GGGGACCUUCGGGGCCCUAAACACCAGCGGUCUUUUGGGACUGCAUGAAGCAAACGGAAGACAGAAA
ncrna:unclassified sequences L2-Alphaproteobacteria ribosomal protein leader